rnacentral:tRNA from 1 species
UGCCGUGUGGUCUAGUGGUUAGGGCGUCCGGCAAACAACCGGAAGACCCAGGUUCGAUUCCUGGUGUGGCAG